GUCUGCUUACAUUGUCUAAGCUCCUGACCUAGGAUCUACAUCAAGAAAGCUAGGAAGUCAACCAAACUUUACUCAAGCGGGGUGGCUAAAGCCACACUCGUACCCGCGACAUUUUUGAAGACUGCUAUACUGAUAGAUACUUGCAAGAUGGCUGGUGAUCCAAGGAAAGGGGUAUACUAUUGAAAUCAUAUAUAAAACAAUGCACACACUGGUAUUUAUGUAUAAAAUUCUGAAAAUAAUAUGAUCAAAUCCCUUAAGCCAAAAGUACUAUGCAAACAAAUGGUAUAGCAUGCUUCUACAUCAAGUCUCAGAAUAGAAUCAUUGUGAACCUAUAUAUGUAUAAUACCUUACACUAUACUAUAUCCCAGCGGUUGAGUUUGGGACAAGAAAAACUGGAAUAACUUUUUAUAGGAAUAUGAGAUAAUGAUGAAACUUUCACAGGUUCUUAGUCGCCAAAGUCCAUCAAAAUCUGUGAAAUCUUGGGUCUUUUAGCUCUUGAAAACCUUGAGAACUGGGUUCUCCCUAUAAACCCAAUGGCAUACCAAAGCUAACUGCAAUGACGUUUUAUGAUUUCAUAGUUAAACCCUAACAAGGAUAUUUGUUAGGGUUUAAUCUGCAUGCAAAGUUUGCUCCAUAUCCAAAUGGUAUUAAUUUUCAAAAAAUAUUGGCCUGCCUCUUCUAUUUUCACUUUUCAUGAUAUUAUUAUGUGUACCAAUUAUUUUGUUUACAUUCAUCUUGUUUUCUCUCUGAUAUCAAUCAACAAUGCUGAUUAAACUGCAUGUUACCUUCAUCACACAAUAGCCAUGGGUAAGUCUAUACUAUUAUUUAACAAUAUGUUACUCUCUCUGAUAUCAAUCAACAAUAAACUUCACAACAGACA